GACGAACGCUGGCGGCGUGCUUAACACAUGCAAGUCGAACGAUGACGCCCGAGCUUGCUCGGUCUGAUUAGUGGCGAACGGGUGAGUAACACGUGAGCAACCUGCCCUUCACUCUGGGAUAACCUCGGGAAAUCGGGGCUAAUACCGGAUAUGAGCUCCUGUCGCAUGGCGGGUGUUGGAAAGUUUUUCGGUGAAGGAUGGGCUCGCGGCCUAUCAGUUUGUUGGUGAGGUAGUGGCUCACCAAGGCGAUGACGGGUAGCCGGCCUGAGAGGGCGACCGGCCACACUGGGACUGAAACACGGCCCAGACUCCUACGGGAGGCAGCAGUGGGGAAUAUUGCACAAUGGGCGAAAGCCUGAUGCAGCGACGCCGCGUGAGGGAUGACGGCCUUCGGGUUGUAAACCUCUUUCAGCAGGGAAGAAGCGAAAGUGACGGUACCUGCAGAAGAAGCGCCGGCUAACUACGUG
rnacentral:rRNA from 1 species